GCAGGCGACUGUUUCCCCCCUUCUAUUCCUCUUGAUCCGUAGCAUCCUCUCGAGAUUGACCUCCGGGGCAGAAGCCCUGACGAGAGGACUCCUCGAAAGGGCUCGGAAGACUGAAGGCGGCGGAGAGCCGGCGGAGAUGGCGAAGAUUGACACAAAGGAUGGUUGGGGUCGAAAAGGGCGCCGAUGGGUGGCUAAACUCUCAGGC
rnacentral:lncRNA from 1 species